UACGGAGGAGGCAAGCGUUAUUCGGAAUUACUGGGCGUAAAGGGCUCGUAGGCGGCCAACUAAGUCAAACGUGAAAUCCCUCGGCUUAACCGGGGAACUGCGUCUGAUACUGGAUGGCUUGAGUUUGGGAGAGGGAUGCGGAAUUCCAGGUGUAGCGGUGAAAUGCGUAGAUAUCUGGAGGAACACCGGUGGCGAAGGCGGCAUCCUGGACCAACACUGACGCUGAGGAGCGAAAGCCAGGGGAGCAAACGGG
rnacentral:rRNA from 1 species